CGCUGUAGACCAGGGGGGAGGAGGGGGGUGGAUGUCGGCCUGGGCUCUGAACUGAUGCAUGAUGGGAGGUGGAGUGACACAGGAGAUGUAUGCUCCGACCUGAAGGAGAACCUAGGAGAAGGUCAGAGGAGAUCAGACAUUGGGCCUAAGACCUGCACACACAGGAAGUUCAUCAGUAAAACAUGAGGAGAAAACUGGAAAACCAAGCAGACAGAGAACCUGUCUAACCUCAGAGAACCUUCAGCAUUGUAGAAAAAGGCAGAAGGUUUGGUCCAUCUCUGCCUGCUGUCAAUCCCCCAUGCCCUCUACUGUGGUUAGCCACAAAACUUUCAGAUCAUCCAGAAGCUCUUAGCUGAAAGUACGUCAACACUUUAGACCCAUUGGACCUUUGAAAAUGUUGAAAAACUUCUUCCACUGUUAAGGUGUGUUCAGAAUAACUGCGAGUUGAGCAGUUUUUUCGCCUCAUUUGCGUGCUGUCGCCCGCCUGACAUUUCGCCAGCACUUGGCGUGUCUAAUGGACGACAACGCUCCACUCGCUCCAUCACAUCAUCAAAUAGGAGGAGCUUCUAUGUGCUGCUUGUCGGUUUAAACUCAACAUGGAGCGAGUCACAAUACUUUAUUUAUGGAAAGCCGUUCACCAGAGACGGAACCAGUUUGGACAGUACCACCACCUACUCCAGGAGCAGCGGUACGUCUGUCUAUACGGGACCCAGUUUGAGGACCUGCUGUCCCACGUUGGGGGACGAAUCAGCCUCCGGGGUACCAACUACAGGCGCUGUAUCCCCACUGCAGAGCACCUGUUCAGCCACAUCUAACUGUCCACAUCUCCUAAAUAUAAUAAACAUUUUUGUGCCUAAACAUUUUACGACGAGGACCAGCAAAAUGCACCAGGCAAGAUCUGAUGUGACAACAGAAUGUAGCAUGGCAGCCAUAAGUAUUGAAUAAAUAUGUAAUAACGGCUGAUCGGCCACCUAGAAAUCAGGCUUGCUGACAGAUGCAUCUGAAAGUGAAAUACUUUCCUACAUGAACAUAGAUCUACCCUGAGAAACUGCUGGGAGUUUCAUACCUGACAACUGGGCUUGUAUGACAACGUUUGUGCUAUAGACGCAAUGCGAAUAAAUAGAAAAGUUCAGUGUU